rnacentral:rRNA from 1 species
AUUGAAAGCUGGCGGCAUGCUUUACACAUGCAAGUCGAACGGUAACAGGCCGCAAGGUGCUGACGAGUGGCGAACGGGUGAGUAAUGCAUCGGAACGUGCCCAGUCGUGGGGGAUAACGCAGCGAAAGCUGCGCUAAUACCGCAUACGAUCUCUGGAUGAAAGCGGGGGACCGAAAGGCCUCGCGCGAUUGGAGCGGCCGAUGUCAGAUUAGGUAGUUGGUGGGGUAAAGGCCCACCAAGCCAACGAUCUGUAGCUGGUCUGAGAGGACGACCAGCCACACUGGUACUGAGACACGGCCCAGACGCCUACGGGAGGCAGCAGUGGGGAAUUUUGGACAAUGGGCGCAAGCCUGAUCCAGCAAUGCCGCGUGCAGGAAGAAGGCCUUCGGGUUGUAAACUGCUUUUGUACGGAACGAAACGGCUCUCUCUAAUACAGGGGGCUAAUGACGGUACCGUAAGAAUAAGCACCGGCUAACUACGUGCCAGCCGCCGCAGUAAAAC